GGCAGCUGGACCAAAAUAAAAUGAUGUGAGCUUUCAUUGCCCUCUGGAUCAGGGGGUGGGGAGUGGGAGAAGGAAGGAGGGAGGGUGCAGCAAGGGCCAAAGUGUCCCUGAACAAUAACAACAGCAACAAUAAUGAAAAUACCUUCUACGCUGCUGGCCAGGCUGGGAAUCCACAGAGCUGGGUAACUGGAUAUUCCAGCUGAUCCACAUAUUGCAACGAAUGCACUGAGCAGCAAUCUGUGUGCCUUUGUAGAAGAAUCACCCAAUUAAAAGGAUAGUGUUUACCGGGUAAAUAUCUGUUUUGGCUCAUGCACUUUGAUAGAAAACUCCUUUAUUUACCCAAAAGUGAUGCCGAGAGAGGUAAAGCGAGCUGGAGCAAAAAAGAACGUGAGAGUUGGAGAGAGCAGUGAGGGGAAAGCAGGACCCACAUCCUCCUGGUUUCCCUCCCACUCCUUCCUUUGCCUGUCUUCUCUGAGGUCUCAGGUUGGCGUGCUCCUGGACUUGGUCAUCGGGCCUCGUCUUUCUUCUACUUACAGUCACUCUCCAUGCUUUCAUCUAGUGUAAUGACCAUAAGUAAAUGGCAUCUAAUUUUAGGGCCUUUCUACAAGGCCUCCUUUGAACCCUGACCUCUCACACUGUUAACUCUGCUCCAGCUUUGCCGGCUUCUGUUUCUAGGAUGUGCCAGGCACAUUCCCCGGCUUCUUCCUGCUGCUUUUCUCUCUGCUUCUUGCUUCUCUUUACUCUCUCAUCCUUAGGCUGGUAUCUGAGCAUUUUGUAAUCUCCUUUCUUAGUGUAUUUUUCUCCACAACUCAUCCCACCUAACAAGUCAGAUCUGUUUAGCUCAUUGCCUUCUCCCAACAAUGAAGCAAGCUGCAUGAGGGCAGGGAUCUUUGCCUGUUUUGUAGUCACCGGGAACAGUGAUUUGCACAUAGAAGACACUCAAUAAAUAUUUGAUGAAUGAAUUAGUUGACGAGUAAAUAAAUAAGUAGAUGGGUGGACGAGCUCUGCUGUUUGUGGCAGGAUGGCUAGAAUGCUAGAGGCUCAUUCCACACCCUCUGAAUCAAUGAGAAAGUGCUAGUUGAGUGUUUGUUUUGGGUGCAAAAUCUUUCCUCCCCUGGUCCAAGGAAGGCAAGGUAGACUCCUGAGGACCCGUUAUGGCUCUCUGGAACAGGAUUUGGGGCUGCCCCUAGUAAAGGACACAAACAAAGGCUUCCAUUCCAGUUUACAGAGCCCCUCCCUCUUCAUUUUACAGACUGGCUGAUAUUAAGGAUUUCUGGGCAAAGGCAGUGGAUUACAGCUAUGGGGACAUGGGAAUAUGCCAGACAGAAGAGGAGAAGGUGAAGGAUGCAGGCUGUCAUGUCAGGGCCUAACCCCUAACUUUGGGAGCAGACCAUAUAGCUCUCUCCUCUGUAACCUUCCCUGGAGCCACCGGGGCCCAUGUCUUUGCUUCUUGACUCAUUAGCCUUCACCCAGGGCUGAAAAAAGAAGUGCAAUAAUAGCAGUCAUUUCCCGUGCUAAUCAGAGCACCUCACAUUUGCACAGUAUGCUGAGAACCUCCAAGGUCAUUUCUUGUGCAUUAUCUAAGAACCAAUCACAGGCAAGGAAACGGUGCUAAGCAUGAAAAGACAGCUUUAACACAGUGCAGUGAAUGCUAUGAAAUGCUAUUGUAACUAAAGCAACAGGCAGUAGGCAGAUAGUGUUCCCUUUUCGCAGAUUAGAAAACGGAUUUAGAAUUUAACUUGCUCAAGAAUACCUGGGGAUUAGAAGGGUGCUGGGGAUUGGACUUGAGCCCAGGGGUUCUGGUGCCCAAUUCAAUGCUCUGACCUUUCUUUUACACUGUGUGUUAUUCCCAGGUGCCUUCCUCAACAUUUUCGAAGCCCACACAAAUGCCCACACCACCUUGUGGCCUCCAUCUACCUGGUCCGGAAGCAAGAGCAACACGAUAUGUGAGCUGUUUGUUUUUCUUGAAGUCUGUCUGCUAAGGUUGGAGCACAAUUGGCAGGUAAACCCAAUUGGAGGCAGGAUGAGAAGCAGGUCAAAAUAUGGCUAGAAGACCAGAGAUGGGCCCUGGACCAACCAUUACCCAUCAUGAUCCCAGGAUUCCAAAAACUCCCUCUGCCACUUGCAUCUGAAGGGGAACCUUCUCCAGGCUGAAAACAUGAACAGCAGAGCUGGGCAUAAUCAAAAUAUGACAGCCAGGAAUGGUGGUCCCAACAUAUAUAUGGCCAGUAGAAGAUUAUCAUCUGACUUACUUACUGGACAUACCAAUAAGGUCCUCAACCUGUGGCAGGGGUUACUUUGAAAUGGACCACUGUAUAAUUAAGUUCUGAGGGUGUUUAAUCAAGGGACCUA